rnacentral:lncRNA from 1 species
AAUCCACUACGUUCUAAAAACCUAGAAUAUCAAAAUCAACUGCGGGUGGCAGAUCCUUUUAAUUUUGGGCGACAAAACUCUGGAACAACCUGCCUAACAUUGUUCGGGAGGCAGACACACUCUUGCAGUUUAAAUCUCGAUUAAAGACCCAUCUGUUUAACCUGGUUUACACAUAACAUACUAAUAUGCUUUUAAUAUUCAAAUCUGUUAAAAGAUUUUUAGGCUGCAUUAAUUAGGUGUUGGGGAUAACAGUUUAAAACCCAAGGAGCAGGUGGUGUCGUAAUCAAGACCAGGAGUCAGAGAUGAGUUCAAUUAAUAAUAAUAAUUUUACUUAAGGAAAUAGUUUGCAGUUUCAUAGGCAGAAGUCAGCGUCAAUACCCUCGCAGGAGUUCGUAAGCUGAACUGCCGUAUAAUACAAAAUCAGUCAUAGUUAUACUCCAGACAGAAGACUUCAAAUGCGUCAAAGCACUGGUCAGCAGCGAUCUGAUUGGUUCCAAAACCUAGAUAAACUUAGACAAUCUUCACAUAUGGUCAUAUACAUCUUCAGCAUAUCUCCAGUGAUUAUAGCAGGCGUCAGCACGGUUGAAGAAGGCACCUCAUCCUAGGUCUGGAAUCCAGCAAUGUUGGUCUCAUCACUUUAUGGGCACACACACACACACACAAACUCAGCCCUUAUCUGCUUAUUCCCAAGGUUUUCUUGCACUGGCAAGUCUUCUUAUCACUACGGUUGGUUACACACAAAGGGCAGGCUGACAUUAAUCUUAAAGAAUAAGAAUACAGGAUAAAACAGAGUUCUUAAUAUCUAAUGUCCGUUGAGACAUGUUAGGAGACAGCAUGUCUCUCCCAUGGCACAUAGAAGAGGCCCCCUGGUCCUUUUUAGCUGACCUGGUGACCCUAGGAAAAAGAAUACUCACACACAUGUCCAUGACAUGUAAAACCUGUCAGUUCUAGGAAGGAAUAAUAUGUUUCUAAGUAAGCAUGCAUCAAUCUAUAGUUAUAUAGAUGGCUUUCUUCAUUUAAUCACAUCAUACAACAAUCUUGGAGGUUAAAUACUGAUCAAACACUUGAUUAAUAAUCACACAAUAUUAAUGAGAUAAUAUAUUCUGAAGAAAGGAUAUAAUCAGCGUCAGAAUCUCCAUCCUCUCCUUCAUAGGUAAACCGGAGCCAGGAACACUUCCCAUAUCACCCGAUGUACUUGCUACAUCAUUAGAAGAAUGGCAUCUACGCUAAUAUUAGUCUGUUUCUCUCUUAUUCCGAGUUUACCGUAGCCAUCAGAUCCAGUCUGUAUCCAGAUCAGAGGGUCACUGCAGUCACUGGGAUCCAGUAUGUAUCCAGACCAGAUGGGGAA